rnacentral:rRNA from 1 species
GACGAACGCUGGCGGCGUGCCUAACACAUGCAAGUCGAGCGAAUGAAGUUCCUUCGGGAAUGGAUUUAGCGGCGGACGGGUGAGUAACACGUGGGCAACCUGCCUCAUAGAGGGGAAUAGCCUUCCGAAAGGGAGAUUAAUACCGCAUAAGAUUGUAGUACCGCAUGGUAUAGCAAUUAAAGGAGCAAUCCGCUAUGAGAUGGACCCACGUCGCAUUAGCUAGUUGGUGAGGUAACGGCUCACCAAGGCGACGAGGCGUAGCCGACCUGAGAGGGUGAUCGGCCACAUUGGGACUGAGACACGGCCCAGACUCCUACGGGAGGCAGCAGUGGGGAAUAUUGCACAAUGGGGGAAACCCUGAUGCAGCAACGCCGCGUGAGUGAUGACGGUCUUCGGAUUGUAAAGCUCUGUCUUCAGGGACGAUAAUGACGGUACCUGAGGAGGAAGCCACGGCUAACUACGUGCCAGCAGCCGCCGUAA